rnacentral:rRNA from 1 species
AUGAGUGACAAUGACCUAAUCCUCAUGUCGUGGAAUGUUCGCGCCUUGAACUGCCUGGCGAAACGCACAGCCAUCAGAGAGGUAGUUCAGGAUAACCACAUUGCACUUCUAGCGUUGCAGGAGACCAAGGUGGAGGUCUGGUCGACUGGUGUAGCAACGGAGGUCGGCGGCGCUAAUCUCCAAGGGUGUGUGGUGCUGCCGGCGCACGGGACGAGAGGUGGUGCGUCGAUCUUCUGGGACAAGCAA